rnacentral:misc_RNA from 1 species
GUGAAUCAUCGAAUUUUUGAACGCAAAUUGCACUCUCCUCGGAGAGUAUGCCUGUUUGAGGGUCAGCCCAUAAAAAAUCGAAAUCGUUUCUGUUGCUCGGUGGCGUUCGUCUGAAAUUGUGUUAUCUUAAAUCCUUUUGGGUUUUAAGCUAAUUAAAAUUUUCUUUUUGGUUCAUUGAACGUUUCUAAGAUUUAUUUCUUUACACGUUUAAGUUAUCGAUUUUUAUUAAACGUGACCAUCAUAUCGGAUCGCGUCUAUACUCUUUCAUUAACUGACUUCGUAUAGGUAAGACU